CAAGGUGGACGAGGAGGACGAGGAUUUGUGCUCGGUAUAUCCUGAGGUGGUUGGCGGUCGUUGGAGAUGGCCGGAGGUGGACAAGGAAGACGAGGAUUUUUGUUCGUUCUGUGCCCCACCUAGUGAUCCGCUAGUACAUAUCCUCCGACGUGACAUCGCUCUGCUACGUAUGAAGAAGAAAAGAUUUAUUAAGAUGCAAAUUGCUCCUCUCUUCUUGCCAUUGUGCUUUCAG